rnacentral:tRNA from 1 species
GCGGAUGUGGUGGAACUGGCAGACACGUAGUCUUGAGGGGGCUAUGCUUCUAUAAGCGUAUGGGUUCGAGUCCCAUCAUCCGCACCA